CUAAAUUAAUGGUUUAUGUGAGAGCAGAUGAAACACUGAUGCUUAAUUUAUAUUUUAUUUUCUUGGUAUGUUGUCAUACGGCUGCGUAUGAGAUUUGUUUGCACAUCAGGUUUGUAGUAUAGAGCUGAGAUAAGCUUCAGGUAGGACAAAAAUGGUUUGACUACAUCAAGAAUGUCUGGCGAGUCAGUUAGCCAUCUCCCACUUGUGGAGAGCAUCUCUUGUGCUGAAAACCAGAGGGUCAAUACUACACCUUUAAAAGUGCAACAACCAGAGAACCAGAACCCAGCCCCAUUUCGAUGUGAACUUGUGCCAUUCAAAUCAGUCGCUUCCAUGUACCACGUGAAAGAGAUGUGCACAUUUUAAAGUGUUUUUUACCUGACGUUUUUUAUCGGGUUUCUGAACUUUUCUUGUUGAUAAAUUUGCAUUUCAACGUGAUCCUCUGCCGAAAUUAUUAAAAACUAAUUUUUAAGUCUGUGUUUCCUACCUAUUUAUGAUUGCAAAUACAAUUGAUUUCUUGUUCCUAAUUGUUUAAACACUUGUGACUUAUUUUAACUGUUUUUUGUAAAUGAGGAACUCUAUACUGAGUUAUCAUGGCUAGUCGUAAGUGAACUGGUUUGGAUACUGAUUAAAAUUAAGUGUGGGUUUUGACAUGAGAUCUUUAGGAUGAGAGCAUUGAAUGUAAAAAAAAGAACGAAACAAAAGCACACCUUUCGUAUCCCACACGCCUUUGUUGCUCAGCUCCUGUGGGAUUGGAACCAGCACAUUUCCAGCAGCAUUCCUUCCCAGCUGAGCUGAGAGUGGGAGGUGGCAGAACUGCAAAUAACAUUUGCACCGUGAGACUGUCAAAGUUGUUCCUAAUCUUUCUCAGUUUUCCAAACGUCUGUUGUAGUUCACCUGUGACUUGUUAUGAUCUUACUGAAUGGGCAUCUAUUGUAAGGGACUUUACCAGUAUUCUGUAUUUUGGUAUUUAAACAAUAUGAUUUCAUAAAUAGAACUGGUUUUUAUUACUAUUAUUGUUGUUGCUACUGUUGUCAUUUACCUUUUCAUCUAUAGCUUUCCUUUUCAUCUGGUCCAAACAGAUCCAUGCAUUUAGAAAAGUCGUCUUUGAAGUGUGAAUAGUAGGUCCACCAUGGAUUUGUUCUUGUGUUGUAAAUGGAAAUAUCAAAGCAUAGCAGCUGUAUUUACCAUCUUAAACAAUGCUGGUGUUCAACCUGCAGCAGCAAUGCAGCUCAGGAGUGAAGAGUUAGGUGAAAUCAGUUCUGGAGCAGCAAAGCUGAUUGCCACUGCUGUUCUUGGGGGGAGGAGGAAAGAGAAAAAGGUGGUGCAGCCUUAUGGUUGGUGUAACACACACAAAAAAUAAACCCACACAUCUGCAGAACCUUUUUUUGCCACUGUGAGGGUAGCGUCUUCUGCGGCAGUUUGCAGUCUGCUGUGCAUCCACCUUUCUCAACUGCAGAUGUUCCUGUUCCUCUUCUCUGCCUCAGCAUUAGAACAGUUCAGACAGCUCUGAAGACACAUGGACAUUUCCAUUCAAUAGGCUUUUUACGAGUCUCCUCCAGGUUUGCUUUUAUUUGCCAAGGAGACUUGCAGUUUUGGUGAGGCUGUGCUUGUCACACUGGGGUUCAAAGCUCCCACUUUGUGCCAAUGGCAGAAUUCCAUCGGUGGGAGACUUGAACCCUCUGUAUAACUGAUUAUUGGCUUCCACAUCUGUGGUCAUUGCAGCAUCGCGUGUGGAGGCAUAGUGUAUAUAGAAUGUUAAAUAAGCUGUGUAUUGAAUGGAGUGGACAAGUUAGCUAAGCAGCUCAAGUAUACUUGGAAGAAAGAUGACCCUGAAAUCAUUUCCAGAAGAUUCAAUGCAAGUUGCUCACUUUGAGUAACAGAUUAAAAAAAAAAAAAAGCCUGUGCUUACAUAGACCAGUAGAUGAAAUCUUCCACCCUUAUAAGCAUGCACACGAGUGGGGACAUUGCCUCCAUUCCAAGGCUGCAAAUUAUGCAUAUGACUUUCCAAGCUAUUGGAAUGGGAACUGAGAAGGUUUAGGCACAGCUUUCCUAGAAAGUGCUGACCUCCAGGGCAUCCAAAUGGACUUAGCUAAACUGAGAUACUGAAAGGGAGAUGCAAUGCCAAAAUGCCGGGCCUUGGCCCUGCUGAGGAAUGCUUGAGGUCGGACUCCUGGCUCCGUGUAAGUCCGGCACGGCUCCUGCUGCGGGAGGUGGGAGUGCUGAGGGCUCAGGCAGCUGCCUUGGACUUGUUUCCUCCAAAAUCAGCAUCCAAAGCUUUGUGGUUAGGAUUAACAUUUAAUUGUGUAUUUGUAUAUUUGCAUGAGCAAAGGUCGGGAACUGUCAGAAUCUAAAUAGCUCCUUUUUACUACUUGUGAUCAAAGAUGAGCGUAAGAAAGAAAGUUCUCAGUGGAGAAACCAAUGACCAGAAGCAGACCCUCCACCCCCAAGCUCCAUAAUUCGGUCACAGAAGGUGAUCUAUUGGUAUCAGUGGUUAAUUUGAGCUUGCUGGAGGAUUUGCUCGAGUAUUACUUCUGGCAUAGGCAGCCUGAGCCCCAGCUGGAGAUCUGCCUCUUUCCCAGAGCGUGCCUCUCCCAUCCCCAAAAGCAGCUGCUCCUGCACAGUGAUUCUCUGCUUCUUUAAAAAGUAAUAAAAAUCUGAACUUGUUCGUUUCUAUUGGAAAAGUAAACAGAGGAAAUCACUUUUUGCAUGCUUCUCCCAGCUGUGAACUGCUGAUUUCAACUUACCCACAUCCUAAAGGUUAAAAAAAAAAACCAACAAAACUUCAGAUGCGAUUUGACCAAAAAAAAAAAGGGAUUUCUUAAGUUGAAGCCCUUCAGAAAACAAAUAACCAUUCCCACAUCCCCAAUAGAGGUGAAGAAGUUUGAUUGGUUUGAUUGCAGGGUUUGCCAUUGGAAGAGAGCCUGACCCUGCUGGCUAUUGAAUGACAGCCCAGACACGUCCUCCUUUGUUUUGUGGCUUUGUCCUAAUUGGAAAUAAACUGUAAAACUGUCAGAGUGUAAUUGCUGCAUGCUUUACACAGUUCUGUGCUUUAGGAGCAAAGUGAAUUAGAAACAGUUUAGAAAGGGGAGAGAGUGUGGAGGUUUCCUCCCUGUGUUGCAGCUCUGCGGCACAGCGCUGCUGCCUGUGUAGCCAUGGAGCACAGCCAGCCUUACAUGGAGCAGCUCUCUAUGCUCGGAGUUACUGGGGAAAAGUGGGGGGGAAAAGGUGGGAAAUCAUUUAAAACAGUGCAAUUUGGUUGCGCUGGGGAGCUGUGCAUGUGUGCUUUGUGUGCGUACAGGGGAAGGCUUUGGUCCCGUAGCAUAGUACAUGUUAGCAUGAUAUACAUGGUUUCUAAAUCUCUUGCAUCUACUUCUGCAGUUGAGAUGUGAAAAAAAGAUUUGUUGUUAUUAUUUAAAGGAAUAAAUAAAAAAGAACAGUAGCAAACUCGUGUUGAGAGGCCAAUAAGGCCUCUGGGGCACAUCCAGGAGGUGGCAUUGCUCCUGGCCCACAGGGCACUGAGGUCUCUCAGCACCGCAGCAUCCCAGUACUGUUCUGAAGUGCUCGUUGUUCAAUAGGCUGUUGUUUUCCCAGUGUGAUGUGGUGGCUGUUACCUGAUAACGUUGCCCGGGGACGUCACGUUGUGAGAGGUGGUCCGUCUCCUUCGAUGUAUUUGGCUGAAAAACAGUGGUGUUUUUGGGUUUUUUUUGCUUUGUUAUUUAAAUUCCUACCAACUGUGACUGCAGUACGGUGAUGAGGAGCACAUGCAGGGAGGGCCGGUGAUGAUAACUUCCUCCAAAUGGCAUCUGAACUUCUUAAGAAAAAAAGACAAAUAUUUUUAAAACGUUUUAAAACUGUGUGUGUGUGUGUAUGUAUGUGUGGGUCUGUAUGUAUGUAUGCGUGGGUGCGUGCGCCAAGAUGGAAUAUUUGUAUUGGAAAAUCCUCCUGGAGUGUAAUUUAAUCCUAUGACCCCCCCCAGCCUUUGUGUAUAUGGUCAGUGUGUGUUUGUAUUUUGCAGUUUCUGUUCUGCUUUUUAGAUAAAUGUAUAUGGAUAUUUUUAAGUCAUCUUUGCUUUUUUUUUUAGAUGAGUUUGUAAUCACCUUAUAACG
ensembl:lncRNA